rnacentral:lncRNA from 1 species
GGUGAAGGGAGCAUCUAGGUGCAGGGGAGCAUCUGGGUGCAGGGAGCAUCUGGGUGCAGGGGAGUAUCUGGGUGCAGGGGAGCAUCUGGGUGCAAGGGAGCAUCUGGGCAUAGGUGAGUAUCUGGGUGCAGGGGAGUACCUGGGUGCAAGGGAGCAUCUGGGUGCAGGGGAGCAUCUGGGUGUAGGGAGCAUCAGCAUCUAGAUGCAGGAGAGUAUCUGAGUACAGAGGAGCAUCUGGGUUCAGGGAAGCAUCUGGGUGAAGGGAGCAUCUAGGUGCAGGGGAGCAUCUGGGUGCAGGGGAGUACUUGGGUGCAGGGGAGUAUCUGGGUGCAGGGGAGUACCUGGGUGCAGAGGUCGAUCAGGACAGACGGGUCAUGAAUCCGAGUGGUCGUGGCAAAGACGGACAGGAAGGUUCAAAUGCCCUAAGGCUGGGCCACGUGACUGCUCCCCCGCCCCAGAGGAAGGGGCUCCUAGGCCCGUCCCGGGGGAAGCGGUGCCCGUGGGGGAGGGGCAGAGCCCUUACCCUUGGGGACCGGCCGUGCGCACCCCCAAAUGCAGGCGGUUCCUGAGCAAAGGCCUAGGACCCAGGAGGACGGCCCCACCUGCGCUCCCCCACAUCAGGGGACAGCACGCUGUCCACACGCGUGUCGGACCGGCCACCAGGGCUGCGGGCGGGGAGCUGCCCGGCACACAGCGGCUGCUGAGGCCCUGCCGGGGGGACAGGCAGGCCCUCCCCACGGGGCUGCCUUCUCUGGCCGGCCAACCAGGGCUCUCGUUCACUCCCCCGGGCCCGUGGGCACCCCGAGUGGACAGGCUCGUGUUCUGGCGGGAGAAGUCGGAAGCCGAGGCGUCAUGACCGGCUGCAGCUGGACUCCACGGGAGCUGGUCCCUGGGGGCCUGGGCGUGGGCAGCGGCCCAAGGUGAGGAGCUGCUGCCCCCCAGGCAUCAGGGAAAAGUCGGCUGUCACCGCAGGGAAGGGACCCGUUCCAGUGACCGCGGAUCCCCCAGGAGGACACUCCCGGCCACCACGGGAGGAGCUGCUCCCCCGUGUUCAACCAGACCCCACGUCCACGGGGCCCAACCCCUGGUACAGGCUCCAGAAAUGGUGAGCAAGAAACACCCACGUUCCACCCACUGGACACACGCCGCACGGGGGGACAUCUGGGGGCCAGGGAGUAUCUGGACAGGAAAGGAUCCCAGUGCGAAGGAGGGUCUGGAUGGGGGAAGCACCUGGGAGCAGAGGAGUAUCUGGGUGCACAAGGAGCAUCUGGACGAAGGGCAGUGCCUCUGUUUAGAGGCGCAUCUGUAUGCAGGGGAGCACCUGGAUGCCAGGGCUGACCUACAUUCAGAGAAGUAGCUGGGUGCUGGGGAGUAUCUGUCUGCCUGGCAGGAUGCGGGUGCAGGGGAGUAUCUGGUUACAGGGAAGUAUCUGGCUGCCUGGGAGUAUCCGGCUGCAGGGGAGUAUCUGACUGGGAGUGAGCGCAGGGCAGUACCUGGUUGCUGGGAGCAUCUGGGUGCAGGGCAGUAUCUGGCGUCUUGGGAGUAUCUGCCGGAGCAUGCGCGUGCAGGGAACUGUCUGGCUGCCUGGAGCAUCUGGGUGCAGGGGAGCAUCCGC